GUUAUACCCUCUAAAAACUUUCAAUAUGCUGUUCCUAAACUCAUUUCCUCUUAGGUUACAACUCUUCUUCAGCGAAAUAAGAAGGUACCAGUGGUAUGGUCGACUUUAUCUGGGAUAUAAAUUCAAAGGAAGCUGAAGCAAAUUCAAGCAGAGAUGACGAUGUGAAUCCCAGAAAGGAUGACAAUUUCAUUGACUAUGAAGGAAACACUGUUGUGACCUUUAAUUUACAGAAUUAUGUUGAGAACAAGAGAGUUGAACCAGUCGUUGGUGAAAAGAAGCAAGAAAAUGUAACUGAAAGCUCUACCAUGGCGAAGCCAUUGCCAGAGCAUAAAAUGUUCAUCAAUUUCUGGGGAGACGACCUGCGUCAUGGCUUUGUUGGCGAGGCCUUGAAAAAGGAUGGAGUCUAUAUAGAUGUUGAUGAGUUGCCGCGUGGAGAUCUUACAGAACUUCUUGUGAAUGGGAUUAAGGAGUCGAGGAUCGCACUGGUAAUCUUCUCGAGCGGGUACGCAGAAUCAAGUUGGUGCUUAAACGAGCUGCUGAAGAUCAAAGAACUUAUGGAAAGAGGGAAACUAUUAGUCAUUCCAAUCUUCUACAAAGUGGAGCUAUGGGAGGUUACACAACUAAAGGGUGAUUUCGGGGUUAAAUUUUGGAAUUUGUGGCGUAUUAAUCGGGAUAGCCAUAUCGUUAGCUGGAAGGAAGCUUUGGAGUCUGUUGCGUCCAUGGAGGGGAUCUAUUUGAAGGAGCACAGUUCUGAGACCGAGUUCAUCACUUUUGCCGUCAAUGAAGUCCUAAAGAGAGUUUCUCUGUGGGAAGGAGAAAAUCCAUCUCUCUUUCCUUCGACAGAGAGAGGAAAAAGUACUGGAUUGCCCAUAGGGACAGGUGAAAAGCAUAAAACUUAUCAGAACAAGCAGCACCUCUUUGGAAUGGAACAUCACAUGGAGCAAUUGGAGAAGAAGUUAGAGUUUGACUGCGACAAAACUCGCAUUAUUGGAGUUGUUGGAAUGCCUGGUAUUGGUAAAACCACUCUCGCAGUGAUGCUGCACCAGAAGUGGAACAGCCAGUUUAUACGCUGUGUGCCUCUUCUAAAUAUCCGUAAGAAGUCAAACGACUAUGGACCAGUGUGGCUGCGAAAGACUCUUCUGGAAGUUUUAAUAGAGGGAAAGUUUCCAUUGAUAAGUGACAAGACAACGCAUGAAUCUGUGAAGGAUACAUUGCUUCAUACUAAAGUUUUUGUUGUUCUUGAUGACUUGAGCGACAAGAAACAAUUAUAGUUUCUUCUCGGUAACCUUGGUUGGAUUAAGAAGGGAAGCAAGAUUGUUAUUUCAACAUGUGACAAGUCAUUGCUUGAUGGAUGUGCUCAUGAUACUUAUGUAGUACCGGUAUUGAAUGAUAGAGAGGCCUUUCAGCUCUUUAAUUAUCAUGUCUUCGAUGAUAAAAUCCGCAGUUCCACCAAUACCUUCCUGACGCUCUCUAGAAAGUUUGUGGAUUACGCUCGAGGACACCCACUUGCUCUCAGUUUACUUGGUAGGGAACUUCGUGGGAAAGACCGGGAUCACUGGGAACAUAAAUUGGCAACACUGACAAGCUCCAAUAUGAUGUUCCAAGAUGUGUGGAGAUUUUCUACUGAUCAACUUAAUGAGCGGCAGAAAGAUGUGUUUCUAGACAUAGCGUGUUUCUUCAACUCAGAGGAUGAAUAUUUUGUUAGGAGUUUACUAGAUUCAGGAGAUCCUGACUCCAUUGAUACUGUGAGUGAAGUAAGAGAUCUCGCCAACAAGUUCCUGAUUACAAUAUCUGACAGCCGAAUAAUUAUGAAUGAUAUGAUGUAUACGUUUGGCAAGGACCUUGGUUCUCCUCGUUGGCUUAGGCUUUGGAACUACGAAGAUUUCAUCAACAAGUCAAAAACAAUGAAAAAAUCAAAGGUUAAUAAUGUAAGAGGUAUUUUCUUAGACAUGUCAAAGUUGAAGAAGAGCAUCCACUUGGAAAGUUCGAUUUUUAUCAAUAUGCUCAAUCUUCGAUACCUCAAGAUAUAUGAUUCUUGUUGUGCUCGGAAAUGUAUACCUAACCGCAAAUUAUACCUCUACAAUGGGAUUAAAUUCCCCUUGAAAGAGGUGCGUUGUCUUCAUUGGGUGCAAUUCCCGCUGGAAGAAAUUCCACUAGACUUCAAACCAGAAAAUCUUGUUGACCUGAGGUUGCCUUACAGCAAGAUUGAACGUAUUUGGAAAGGUGUUAAGGAUACACCUCGGUUGAAAUGGGUAGAUCUGAGCUACUCACGUAAGUUGCUCGACUUGUCAGCAUUAUCAAAGGCUGAAAAUCUUCGAAGUUUGAAUCUGGGAGGCUGCACGAGUUUGAAUGAGUUACCGGUGGAGAUUCAGAAUAUGAAGUCUCUUGUUUUGCUCAACCUGAGAGGAUG